ACCAAGAUAGCAUAAACAAAAGCGUUGAUUUUGUAAUUCAAAGAUAGAGACUCUCUUCUUGGUA
rnacentral:tRNA from 1 species